AGGGUUCGAUCAUGGCUCAGGAUGAACGCUAGCGGCACGCUUCAUACAUGCAAGUCGAGGGGCAGCAUAAAGUACUUGUACUUUGAUGGCGACCGGCGAACGGGUGCGUAACGCGUAUGCAACUUACCUUUUACUAGAGAAUAGCCAAGAGAAAUUUUGAUUAAUGCUCUAUACUCUUUUUAACUCACAUGAGUUUUUAAGAAAAGCUCCGGCGGUAAAAGAUGGGCAUGCGUCCUAUUAGCUUGUAGGUGAGGUAACGGCUCACCUAAGCUCCGAUAGGUAGGGGUCCUGAGAGGGAGAUCCCCCACACUGGUACUGAGACACGGACCAGACUUCUACGGAAGGCAGCAGUAAGGAAUAUUGGACAAUGGAGGAAACUCUGAUCCAGCGAUGCCGCGUGAAGGAAGACGGCCCUAUGGGUUGUAAACUUCUUUUAUACAGGAAGAAACCUUUCCACGUGUGGAAAGCUGACGGUACUGUAAGAAUAAGGAUCGGCUAACUCCGUGCCAGCCGCCGCGGUAAUUCA
rnacentral:rRNA from 1 species